CCUCUCGUGGUAACGCGCCCUGUCUAGUGAACAGGGAGUCGUGAGUUCGAUUCUCACCGAGAAGA
rnacentral:tRNA from 1 species